rnacentral:rRNA from 1 species
AAUCAACGCUGGCGGCGUGCCUAACACAUGCAAGUCGAGCGAGAAAGGGGCUUCGGCCCUGAGUAGAGCGGCGCACGGGUGAGUAACACGUGGUUAAUCUGCCCUCGAGUGGGGAAUAACACCGGGAAACCGGUGCUAAAACCGCAUACGAUCACGAUGUUUUCGGAUGUUGUGAUGAAAGGAGCAAUUCGCUCUUGGAGGAGCCCGCGGCUGAUUAGCUAGUUGGUGAGGUAAUGGCUCACCAAGGCAACGAUCAGUAGCCGGUCUGAGAGGACGGUCGGCCACACUGGAACUGAGACACGGUCCAGACUCCUACGGGAGGCAGCAGUGGGGAAUUUUUCGCAAUGGGGGCAACCCUGACGAAGCAACGCCGCGUGGAUGAUGAAGUCUCUUGGGACGUAAAAUCCUUUCGACAGGGAAGAAACCGCAAGGUUGACGGUACCUGUAGAAGAAGCCCCGGCUAACUCCGUGCCAGCAGCCGCGGUAA